CUUCAUUUUCCGAUCUUCCUAUCUAUUUAAAGGCCCUUCCCCUCUCUCAUUUUUCCUCACAAGCAAACUAAAGUUCUUUUCAGAGACACAAAUAUUUAUCUGUUAUUUGAAGUUCAUUGUGUAAAGUCUGAGUAGUGCAUUCAUACUACAACAAGAAGGUAUAUAUAUAUUUCAUUUCUCUAUCUAUGAUUCUUAAACAUGUGAGCAAAUCACAAUGAGUGAAGUCAAGAGAACAAAUGUUGUUUCUUUUUAUUUUGUUUGGUGAUUGUUGUUUAUGAUUUUCUUUUAGUCCAAAUUUAGCAUACACUGUCCUGGGGGAAGUCUGAGUAACCCAUGGAUCAAAAAUGACAACUUAGGGUGUUGAAUUUGCGAUUAAAAUGCCAUGAAAAUCUCCCUUAUAUGAUAUGCACAGAAGAUGUUCGAUAAAAUGCCUCAGAGGUUUCAAGUUACCAGAUGCAAGCGGCGGUACAUGCGACGGAACUUCGGAGUCCAGACGGACCGUCGCAUGACACCGUCGCACCUAUGUGAAAAACUGAUGCACUGGAAUCUACCCGACGGUAGGGAUCGAUGAACCGUCGCAUGCGUGAUGGACCGUUGCUUCCCACCUUCACACAUUUCUCAGAACAUGAGUUACUGGAAUACUCCGAUGGUAGGAGUCGAUGGACCAUUGCUGAUCUGAAACUUGCUUGAGCGCCGUUUCAAUUCAUAUGGGUUGGAUUGGAUGAGUAGGCCACUGGGAUCGUACCAACCUAUCUUGGUGUGGGAAUUCUUCGCUAAUUAUCUGGCACUGCUAGAAAAGGAUUUGCCCAAGGGUGCAACGGCUGCAGAUAGGGAUAAGCUUAAUGUAGUCCCAGUGAGAGGAGUCGACACUGAUUACUCGGAAAGGGCGCUGAACAGGUUUUUAUUUGGCCCGGAAUAUCAAAUACCAGGGGCUAUCCCAGAGUUGGAGCAUUGGUUAUUCACAUGAGCUGAAUAAAGGCGAUGUCUAACCAGGAUUCUGACAGAUGGAGGUAACCUUACAUGGUUACUUGACCCACGUGAGAGAAUCUCGAAGAAAUCACUGAAUUUCAGGGAAAAAUUCUGGUGGGCUAUUGUACGACUAAGGCUUAUGCCCACAGGUGGUGAUGAUCUUCUUGAGAGCACCCAAGCUGUACGCAUUCUCUACGUGCUUCAUUGAUGAGAAUGUUGUUUCGAUGCUUUCAGUUGCAACACGUAAAAUUAAAUUUCACUUUAGAAGGAAAUAAAUAAAUGUCUAGGUCUGAUCCGGCUUUGGCUCCUCUCCAUUUCCUUUCUCUCCAUUUUCCCCAAGUCCCCAUCUUGAUUAAUGACACAUGGCCUAAUUAAAUUAAAUGGCUAAGGUUUAAUUUAUUCUAAACUAAACCUCUAACUAUUAUAAAUAUAAUAUAUCAACUAAAAAUAAGGUUUUUUAUCUCUAUCAAUUUCUCAAUAUUCCCUUCCUAUUAUUUCUCUCAACUUUCUCUUAUUUCCUCCGAAUU
rnacentral:lncRNA from 1 species